rnacentral:rRNA from 1 species
AAUUAUCCUCAUAAGUUCGACGAUAAGAGGAACCUGUUGUUUUAUUUUAUUUAUCCUCUGUCCAACCCCAAAAAAGGAGAGGUGGAGAGGUAUCUAAUUUAAAUUAAUAGGUGGCACAAAAUCGGAGGCCCCGACUGUUUACUAAAAACACAAUUCAGAGCGAUGAUUAAUAUCAUAGUAUUCUGGAUGAGACUUGCCCAAUGCCAAAUAAACAAGAAAGGUGAUAGGAUAACUGUUACUGAUCAAAUCAAUGGUUAAUAGCGGUCUUAACUAUGAGGAUCCUAAGGUAGCAAAAUAAAUUGGCCAUUAAAUGUGGUCCGGUAUCAAUAGUUUAACGAUGGUCUCACUGUCUCUACAACUUGCUCAGUGAAAUUGAAUUACCCGUGCAGAUGCGGGUUACCUCCAGGUGGACGGGAAGACCCUAUGCAGCU